UGAAUAUAUAUAAUUACGUUUAUAAAUAUUCUGAAGAAAACUAAACAGAAUUCCUGGAAUUAUUUCUCCAAAAAUUUCCAAUAUUUUUUUUUAUUUUUAUAAACUCUCAACUUUGAUCAAAAUUUCAAAUUUAUUUAAUCUGUUCUAAUAAUUGAACAUUUCACAAAUGAAGAUGCAUUAUAUGUACCAACUCUGGUUUCUUGUGAAAAUGAUCAUGCAGACAAAAGAAAUUUUUCAAGAUCAGCAACAAAAAUUAAAACAUCACAAAGCAAACAUUUUUCCAUUACCAGGAAGGGCUAUGACAGCAUUUUCCAAACUGCAGAGCAGUAGUAUAUUGCAAAGGGCCACACAAAAAUUAACAAAAACAUCAUUUUUGUAACACACAAACAAAAAAAAAAUAAAUUCAAAUUGUUGUAAAAAAAUGAAUCAGCAAAAGGGGUUC
rnacentral:lncRNA from 1 species